rnacentral:rRNA from 1 species
AUGGAGAAGAGGCAGGCGACCUACGGGAAGGGCGCGGCCAGGAUGGCGCCCAUGGAGGUAUCGGUGGAGGCCGGGAACGGCAGGGAGUCCGACUGGCUUGACGACGACGGCCGCCCGCGUCGGUCGGGCACGGUGUGGACGGCGAGCGCCCACAUCAUCACCGCCGUCAUCGGCUCGGGCGUCCUCUCGCUGGCGUGGGCCAUCGCCCAGCUCGGCUGGGUGGCGGGCCCCGCCAUCAUGCUCCUGUUCGCGCUCGUCAUCUACUACACCUCCACGCUCCUCGCCGAGUGCUACCGCUCCGGCGACCCGGAGACCGGCAAGCGCAACUACACCUACAUGGACGCCGUCCGCUCCUACCUCCCGGGCACCAAGGUGAAGCUGUGCGGCGUCAUCCAGUACGCCAACCUCGUCGGCGUCGCCAUCGGCUACACUAUCGCCGCCUCCAUCAGCAUGCGGGCGAUCGGGAGGGCGGACUGCUUCCACUACCACGACGUCAGGGGCCGCAGCGGGAAGGACGAGUGCAAGAGCUCCAGCAACCCGUACAUGAUCGUCUUCGGGGUGGUGCAGAUCCUCUUCUCGCAGAUACCGGACUUCGACCAGAUAUGGUGGCUCUCCAUCGUUGCCGCCGUCAUGUCCUUCACCUACUCCACCAUCGGGCUCGGCCUCGGCAUCGCGCAGACCGUCGCCAACGGCAUCCAGGGCAGCCUCACCGGUCUCAGCGUCGGCCCGGGCGUGACCUCCAUGCAGAAGGUGUGGCGCAGCCUCCAGGCCUUCGGCAACAUCGCCUUCGCAUACUCCUACUCCAUCAUCCUCAUCGAAAUCCAGGACACGGUGAAGGCGCCGCCGCCGUCGGAGGCGAAGGUGAUGCAGAAGGCGACGGGGAUAAGCGUGGCGACGACGACGGUGUUCUACAUGCUGUGCGGGUGCAUGGGGUACGCGGCGUUCGGCGACGCGGCGCCCGACAACCUUCUCACGGGGUUCGGCUUCUACGAGCCCUUCUGGCUGCUGGACGUGGCCAACGCCGCCAUCGUGCUGCACCUCGUCGGCGCCUACCAGGUCUUCUGCCAGCCCCUCUUCGCCUUCGUCGAGAAGUGGGCGGCGGCGAGGUGGCCCGACAGCGCCUUCAUCGCCCGGGAGCUCCGCGUGGGGCCCUUCGCCAUCAGCGUCUUCCGCCUCACCUGGCGCACGGCCUUCGUCUGCCUCACCACCGUCGUCUCCAUGCUGCUCCCCUUCUUUGGCGACGUCGUGGGGCUCCUGGGCGCCGUCGCGUUCUGGCCACUCACCGUCUACUUCCCCGUCGAGAUGUACAUCGUGCAGCGCGGCGUGCGACGGGGGAGCACGCGGUGGGUUUGCCUCCAGAUGCUCAGCGCCGCCUGCCUCGUCGUGUCCGUGGCCGCCGCGGCCGGGUCCAUUGCCGACGUCAUCGGCGAGCUCAAGGAGUACCGGCCGUUCAGCGGCUGA